GGCAGGAAUGAAGAGGAAUCGGAUGACAAAAAUUGAUGUAGCAAGGAGUUGGACUUAGGAAAAGCAGGAAAAGAGCACAAAAGAAGAAUCACAGUUGGCGAUGAGCACCACUUUCAUCAUUGAGCGCCAAGCCUGUUGUUGCAUUCACUGUCUGACGCCUGAGUGCCAUUCCAAGUGUCGCACCUACCACUAAGCGCCAGUCUUGCUGAUGAGUUCUUUGUCUAGUGUCUGGGCCCCAC
rnacentral:lncRNA from 1 species